rnacentral:hammerhead_ribozyme from 1 species
ACCCAGCUGAUGAGUCCUAAAUAGGGCGAAACGUGCGUCAAACUGGAU